CAGCCGCGGUAAUACGUAGGGCGCGAGCGUUGUCCGGAAUUAUUGGGCGUAAAGGGCUUGUAGGCGGUUGGUCGCGUCUGCCGUGAAAUUCUCUGGCUUAACUGGGGGCGUGCGGUGGGUACGGGCUGACUUGAGUGCGGUAGGGGAGACUGGAACUCCUGGUGUAGCGGUGGAAUGCGCAGAUAUCAGGAAGAACACCGGUGGCGAAGGCGGGUCUCUGGGCCGUUACUGACGCUGAGGAGCGAAAGCGUGGGGAGCGAACAGGAUUAGAUACCCUGGUAGUCCACGCUGUAAACGUUGGGCACUAGGUGUGGGGGCCACCCGUGGUUUCUGCGCCGUAGCUAACGCUUUAAGUGCCCCGCCUGGGGAGUACGGCCGCAAGGCUAAAACUCAAAGGAAUUGACGGGGGCCCGCACAAGCGGCGGAGCAUGCGGAUUAAUUCGAUGCAACGCGAAGAACCUUACC
rnacentral:rRNA from 1 species